rnacentral:rRNA from 1 species
UACAGAGGGUGCGAGCGUUGUUCGGAAUUACUGGGCGUAAAGCGCGCGCAGGCGGCCCUUUAAGUCUACCCGUGAAAUGCCGGAGCUCAACUCCGUGCACGCCGGGGGAUACUGAGGGGCUGGAGACAGGUAGAGGCAAGCGGAAUUCCGGGUGUAGCGGUGGAAUGCGUAGAUAUCCGGAAGAACACCUGAGGCGAAGGCGGCUUGCUGGGCCUGAUCUGACGCUGAGGCGCGAAAGCGUGGGGAGCAAACAGG